rnacentral:rRNA from 1 species
UGAGUACGAGCUGCUACGGCAGCGAAGUGGGUGAUGUCAAGCUUCCAAGAAAAGCCCUAUACCCGUUAAGGCAUGAUGGCCUGUACCCGAAACCGACACAGGUGGGGUGGUAGAGAAUACCGAGGGGCGCGAGAUAACUCUCUCUAAGGAACUCGGCAAAAUGGCCCCGUAACUUCGGGAGAAGGGGUGCCACCGCAAGGUGGUCGCAGUGAAGAGGCCCAGGCGACUGUUUACCAAAAACACAGGUCUCCGCUAAGUCGCAAGACGAUGUAUGGGGGCUGACGCCUGCCCAGUGCCGGAAGGUUAAGGAAGCUGGUCAGCGUAAGCGAAGCUAGCGACUGAAGCCCCGGUGAACGGCGGCCGUAACUAUAACGGUCCUAAGGUAGCGAAAUUCCUUGUCGGGUAAGUUCCGACCCGCACGAAAGGCGUAACGAUCUGGGCGCUGUCUCGGAGAGAGGCUCGGCGAAAUAGAAUUGUCUGUGAAGAUGCGGACUACGUGCACCCGGACAGAAAGACCCUAUGAAGCUUUACUGUAGCUUGGUAUUGUGCCCGGGCUCUGAAUGCGCAGGAUAGGUGGGAGGCUUUGAUCCAUUGCUUGUGGGUGAUGGUGAGCCAACGGUGAGAUACCACUCUUUCAGAGCUAGGGUUCUAACGGUCACCCGUCAUCCGGGGACCGGACAGUAUCAGGUGGGCAGUUUGACUGGGGCGGUCGCCUCCUAAAAGGUAACGGAGGCGCGCAAAGGUUUGCUCAGGCUGGUUGGAAAUCAGCCGACGAGUGUAAAAGCAGAAGCAAGCUUGACUGUGAGACCUACAAGUCGAACAGGGACGAAAGUCGGCUUUAGUGAUCCGACGGUUCUGAGUGGAAGGGCCGUCGCUCAACGGAUAAAAGUUACUCUAAGGAUAACAGGCUGAUCUCCCCCAAGAGUUCACAUCGACGGGGAGGUUUGGCACCUCGAUGUCGGCUCAUCGCAACCUGGGGCUGAAGUCGGUCCCAAGGGUUGGGCUGUUCGCCCAUUAAAGCGGUACGCGAGCUGGGUUCAGAACGUCGUGAGACAGUUCGGUCCAUAUCCGGUGCAUGCGCAGGAAUAUUGAGAGGAUUUCUCCCUAGUACGAGAGGACCGGGAGGAACGCACCUCUGGUGUGCCAGUUAUCGUGCCAACGGUAAACGCUGGGUAGCCAUGUGCGGAGAGGAUAACCGCUGAAAGCAUCUAAGUGGGAAGCCCACCUCAAGAUGAGUAUUCCCAUGGCGUUAGCCAGUAAGGUCACGGGCAGAACACCCGUUGAUAGGCUCUACGUGGAAGCCGGGUAACCGGUGAAGCGGAGGAGUACUAAUAGACCGAGGGCUUGAC